rnacentral:rRNA from 1 species
UACGGAGGAUGCAAGCGUUAUCCGGAUUUAUUGGGUUUAAAGGGUGCGCAGGUUGUUUGAUAAGUCAGUGGUGAAAGUCUGUCGCUUAACGGUAGGAUUGCCAUUGAUACUGUUGGACUUGAAUAUGGAUGAGGUAGGGGGAAUGUGUAGUGUAGCGGUGAAAUGCAUAGAUAUUACACAGAACUCCGAUUGCGAAGGCAGCUUACUAAUCCAUCAUUGACGCUGAGGCACGAAAGCGUGGGGAUCAAACAGGA